CCGGUUGAUCCUGCCGGAGUGACUGCUAUCGGAUUGAGACUAAGCCAUGCGAGUCAUUGUAGCAAUACAAGGCAGACGGCUCAGUAACGCGUAGUCAAUCUACCCUAUGGACGGGAAUAACCUCGGGAAACUGAGAAUAAUACCCGACAGAACAUUAUACCUGGAACGGUUUAUGUUUCAAAUGAUUUAUCGCCGUAGGAUGGGACUGCGGCCUAUCAGUUUGUUGGUGAGGUAAUGGCCCACCAAGACUAUUACAGGUACGGGCUCUGAGAGGAGUAGCCCGGAGAUGGGUACUGAGACACGGACCCAGGCCCUAUGGGGCGCAGCAGGCGAGAAAACUUUGCAAUGUGCGAAA
rnacentral:rRNA from 1 species